rnacentral:rRNA from 1 species
ACGCGAAGAACCUUACCUGGGCUCGAACUGCUCAGGACAUCCUUGGAAACAUGGAUUUCCCGCAAGGGACAGGAGUCGAGGUGCUGCAUGGCUGCCGUCAGCUCGUGUCGUGAGAUGUUGGGUUAAGUCCCGCAACGAGCGCAACCCUUGUCCUGUGUUACCAUGCCCAAAGGCGACCCUCACAAGAAACCCCCCGCAAUAAGCUGAAGAAAGGUGGGAAUAACUUCAAUUCCUCCUGGCCUUUAUGUCCAGGGCUACCCACUUGCUACAUUGGGCGGAACAAACCGCUGCUAACCCCCAGGGUGAACCCAAUCGAAAAAAGCCCCUCUCAUUUCGAAUUGCAUGCUGCAACUCACCUGCUUGAACCUGGAAUCCCUAUUAAUGCUAUAUCAAAACAACUCCGUGAAUACUUUCCCGGGUCUUGUACACCCCA